UGAGUGGCGGACGGGUGAGUAACGCGUGGGCAACCUGGCCUGUACAGGGGGAUAACACUUAGAAAUAGGUGCUAAUACCGCAUAACGGGGGAAGCCGCAUGGCUUUUCCCUGAAAACUCCGGUGGUACAGGAUGGGCCCGCGUCUGAUUAGCCAGUUGGCAGGGUAACGGCCUACCAAAGCGACGAUCAGUGGCCGGCCUGAGAGGGCGGACGGCCACACUGGGACUGAGACACGGCCCAGACUCCUACGGAAGGCAGCAG
rnacentral:rRNA from 1 species